UUUUGAGGUUAGAAAAAAUGAGCCAAUUCAGCAAUUUUGACCUUGAGUUUGGAUUCAGCGGGUCAAAAUCAUAAAAAUAGACUAGACUGGUCCGCCGGACCAAAAUUAAAAGCAUUUUUAUCAGCUUGUGUACAAUGUAUUCAGUACAUCUGAGAGCUACAAUUUGAAGUUCUUUACAAGGAUAUUGAUUUUUCAUGUGACUUUCUUAACUGUACAUUUGAUGAUAAAAAGAUAUUUAUAAAAUUACAUGAAAAUGAAUCAAACAUCACGUAUAAUGAAGUAAAUUUUACAAAUGUUAAUGAAAACAAUGGUAGAAUAAUAAUGAAAGACAAGUUAAUAAAAUAGAGAAUGAAAAUGAAAUAAGAGGACGAGAAAAUGAAGAGCAAACAUUCUCAUGGUCAGAUGCUAGCACCAAAUUAUUUAUAUGUUUAUAUAAGAAAAAAAGAAUUGACCUUACAAACAGAAAAAUAAAAACAAAAAGGAUAAUGUGGCAGAAAAUAGCUGAAAUUAUGAAUUUAAAGGGUUACAACAUAACAUCGAUACAGGCAGAAAACAAAUACAAAUCGUUAAAAAGAUAAAAAUAUAAUAACUCAUAACAAACAAACAGGCAGAAAUAGAAUAUCUUGUCCUUACCAAACAGAGUUGACAGAAUUACUAGGUCAAAAACAUAAUAUCGAACCUUUAGUCUUAUCAGGAAACAAAGGUACAAAAUUAAGAAAUGACGCAAGAGAAAUUACUUUGUAUUAAAAAGUAUUAAAAAAGACAUUUGAAGAAGCAAUAUUUUACAGCAUAUUAAAUGUUACAUUAAAUAAUUACAGUAAAUGUAAAGAUUGAUAUAUGUUUCUUCAUAUAAUAAAAUUAUGAGACUUACAUGAAAUUACACAUACACACACACGCACAUACAGACAUACGCACAAUAAUAUUAAAGUGCAACAAACAUAGAACUAAUUUAUCUAUUACAUAUAUUACAGACGUUUUCAAGAAGAAAAUAGUGAAAAUAUUCCACCUAACAUUAUAAAUUCAGAAAAUAUAGAUUUAUGUAAUAUUAAUUUACAUGACAUUAGUGAAGCGGCGACAAGCUACAAUCCAGCACAAACUGAUAUAUUAACCCAUUACUUCCCAAGCGGACAUUUUAUAGUCGAUUGGUUUUCGGCUCAGAAAAGUGAUGAAAUCACAUGAAAACUUAAAACAAAAUAUGCUCUUCUACGUAAAAAGAGUUGUUCUUUCAGAUUCCGAGGUCAAAAUUUCAAAAUUUUCUAUUGGAAAUUAAAUAUGGCGGCUCAAAUUUGAUAUAAAUUUUUUCAUCGACUACCCACACAGCAAUGUAAUAUUUCAGCAAUAUUGCAACAAUAUUACAAUAUUGCAAUAAUAUUAUGUAGUAAUAUAGCAGUCAUAUUACAGAAAUAUUGCUGCAAUAUUAAAUGUCCGCGAAAAUUCAUCGCCAAAAUAUUAUUGCAAUAUUGCAGUAAUAUUACAGAAAUAUUACGAUAUACUAUGGAAAUAUUAUAAUAAUAUUAUUGCAAUCUGUUUGUAAAAUUUCAGUAAUAUUUCUGCAGUAUUAUAAUAUUGUUGUAAUAUUGCUAUAAGGGUGAAUUUUAGUGGACGUUUCGGCUUUUUAUCAUGAGAAAUAAAUUACCAAUUGCAACCUUAUAUAUGUAUGUGCAUAUGCCGUGCAUGUGUGUAUUAAGGUUGCAGUCAGUAAUCCAAUUUCCAUGGUAAAAGGCCGAGACAUCCAUUAAAAUUCACCCUAGGUAUAAUUACGAAAUAAUUUUAUUACAUUAUUACUAUUUAUUUAUUUUUUUAUUUUUAUUAAUAUAAUAUAGAAAAUCAGAAACUUAUGUCUAUAGUUUAAAAUAUACGUACAUGAAUAUAUAUAUAUA